AGUGAACGCUGGCGGCGUGGAGUAGGCAUGCAAGUCGAGCGAUCUUUUUAUGGGCUCCGCAUUUUGACGCAAGGAGAAAUGCAGGAUCUGUUUAAGGAUAGCGGCAGACGGGUGAGUAAUACGUGAGUAACUUACCUCUAUGUCGGGGAUAGCCUUGCGAAAGUAAGGGUAAUACCUGAUGUGGCCUUGACAACAUAAGCUGUUAAGGCUAAAGGUAUCCGUAAGGAUGCCGUAUAGAGAUGGACUCGCGUCCUAUCAGCUAGUUGGUGGGGUAACGGCCUACCAAGGCUUUUGACGGGUAGCUGGCCUGAGAGGGUGGUCAGCCACAUGGGGACUGAGACACUGCCCCGACUCCUACGGGAGGCUGCAGUCGAGAAUAUUUAGCAAUGGGCGAAAGCCUGACUAUGCGACGCCGCGUGAGGGAUGAAGGUCUUCGGAUUGUAAACCUCUUUCGAUGGGGAAGAAUACAGACGGUACCUAGAGAAGAAGCCACGGCUAACUUCGUGCCAGCAGCCGCGGUAAUACGGAGGUGGCUAGCGUUACUCGGAUUUAUUGGGUGUAAAGGGCAGGUAGGCGUCUUGAUAAGUUUUUGGUGAAAUCCUUCUGCUUAACAGAAGAACUGCCAAGAAAACUAUCAGGAUUGAGACUAGGAGAGGAGAGUGGAAUUCCCCAGUGUAAAGGUGAAAUCUGUAGAUAUUGGGAGGAACACCAGUAGCGAAGGCGGCUCUCUGGCCUAGAUCUGACGCUGAGCUGCGAAAGCUAGGGGAGCAAACAGAAUUAGAUACUCUGGUAGUCCUAGCUGUAAACGAUGAGCACUAGGUGUUGGCUCUGAAUAAGGGCCAGUGUCGUAAGAUAACUCGUUAAGUGCUCCACCUGGGGACUACGGCCGCAAGGCUAAAACUCAAAGGAAUUGACGGGGGCCCGCACAAGCGGUGGAACAUGUGGUUCAAUUCGACGAUACGCGAAGAACCUCACCAGGGCUUGACAUUCCGGAAGUAAGAAGCCGAAAGGUGGAUGACUCGUCAAAUCGGGAGCCGGAACAGGUGUUGCAUGGCUGUCGUCAGCUCGUAUCGUGAGACGUUGGGUUAAGUCCCGCAACGAGCGCAACCUUCAUCUUUAGUUGCUACCUCUUAUUGCUUUUGAAAAAAAGUAGCGAGAGAGCACUCUAAAGAAACUGCCCGCGAUAAGCGGGAGGAAGGCGGAGACGACGUCAAGUCAGUACGGCCCUUAUGCCCUGGGCUACACACGUGUUACAAUUCCCGCGGCCCAGGCGGCCGGGAGCCUUCA
rnacentral:rRNA from 1 species